CGACCACCGAGAUCUACACUCUUUCCCUACACGACGCUCUUCCGAUCUCACAUUGGGACUGAGACACGGCCCAAACUCCUACGGGAGGCAGCAGUGGGGAAUCUUGCACAAUGGAGGAAACUCUGAUGCAGCGAUGCCGCGUGAGUGAAGAAGGCCUUUGGGUUGUAAAGCUCUUUCGUCGGGGAAGAAAAUGACUGUACCCGAAUAAGAAGGUCCGGCUAACUUCGUGCCAGCAGCCGCGGUAAUACGAAGGGACCUAGCGUAGUUCGGAAUUACUGGGCUUAAAGAGUUCGUAGGUGGUUGAAAAAGUUGGUGGUGAAAUCCCAGAGCUUAACUCUGGAACUGCCAUCAAAACUUUUCAGCUAGAGUAUGAUAGAGGAAAGCAGAAUUUCUAGUGUAGAGGUGAAAUUCGUAGAUAUUAGAAAGAAUACCAAUUGCGAAGGCAGCUUUCUGGAUCAUUACUGACACUGAGGAACGAAAGCAUGGGUAGCGAAGAGGAUUAGAUACCCUCGUAGUCCAUGCCGUAAACGAUGUGUGUUAGACGUUGGAAAUUUAUUUUCAGUGUCGCAGGGAAACCGAUAAACACACCGCCUGGGGAGUACGACCGCAAGGUUAAAACUCAAAUGAAUUGACGGGGACCCGCACAAGUAGUGGAGCAUGUGGUUUAAUUCGAAGAUACGCGCAGAACCUUACCAACACUUGACAUGUUCGUCGCGACUCUAAGAGAUUAGAGUUUUCGGUUCGGCCGGACGAAACACAGGUGCUGCAUGGCUGUCGUCAGCUCGUGUCGUGAGAUGUUGGGUUAAGUCCCGCAACGAGCGCAACCCUCACUUUUAGUUGCCAUCAUUAAGUUGGGCACUCUGAAAGAACUGCCAGUGAUAAGCUGGAGGAAGGUGGGGAUGACGUCAAGUCCUCAUGGCCCUUACGUGUUGGGCUACACACGUGCUACAAUGGCAUCUACAACAGGAAGCAAAACGGCAACGUUAAGCAAAUCCCGAAAAGAUGCCUCAGUUCGGAUUGCACUCUGCAACUCGAGUGCAUGAAGCUGGAAUUACUAGUAAUCGUGGAUCAGCGUGCCACGGUGAAUGCGUUCCCGGGUCUUGUACACACCGCCCGUCACACCAUGGGAGUUGGUUCUACCUUAAGGCAAGGUUUUAAACCCUUGACCACGGUAUAGUCAGCGACUGGGGUGAAGUCGUAACAAGGUAGCCGUCCCUAUAGUGAGUCGU
rnacentral:rRNA from 1 species